AGCCCGCUACCUUCUCCAUAGCUAGUGCGGAGCUUAACUACUUUUCCCAGGAGGCAUUGCGCGUCCAUCGCUCCUCCCCACAGGGAGGCGGGCGGCUUUGAGCUGAGCGGUAUUUAGACUCGAGCUGCGGUCUUUCAGCUGCGCGCUUUGGCCACAAAUACGUUGCAGAGGAGGCAGGGGUUGAAAAAAGCCCAGAGCCUGGCGCCGGGACCGAGACUGGGUGUUAAUAGGCUCCAAGCCCAACGUGGAGCCCAGUGAGGACCUGAAUGCAUGACCCUGUGAUCAAGACCUGAACUGAGAUCAAGUGUUGGACACUUACCUGACUGAGCCACCCAGGCACCCCAGAUCACAAGCAGGCAGAGAAGAAGGCAGAGAGAAAGGAGGAAGCAGACUCCCCGCUGAGUAGAGAACCCAAUGCAGGGCUCGAUCCAAGGACCCGAGCCAAAGGCAGAGGCUUAACCCACUGAGCCACCCAGGUGCCCCAAAAGUGCUUUUCACAGGAUUUAAUAAGCCUGUUACCCUUUUGGUUUUCUAUCUGUCCCAUCUGUACUUACUACUCUCUCCUUUUCUCAACUUUUUUUGGAUUAAUCAAAUUUAUUAUCCCAUUCCAUUCCACUAUUAAAAUUCCCACUAUACAUCCUCAUAUAAUUUUUUUACAUGGUUACUUACACUUAAGCAUGUACACUCAAACAGAACAAAAUUGCUCCAAAUAAGUGAAAAUUGAUGGAGGGGGGGGGGGAAUCUUACUUCUUUUAUGUAUAAAGCGCAAAUAUACACACAGCACAUAAAGAGAUACACAGGGUAUAUGUAUCUGUGGUUCUAAACUGUCAUAGGGGAACUCAAUUAGGAAAAAAACAAUGUCUAAAGAUGUUUCCUCUGGAGGGCAAUAGGGAAAAGAAGUUUGCCAGGUGCCCCCAGCUACACUGCAUCAAUUUGACCCCUAGAGGGGCUUGAAAGGGAGUAGCUCAAUUACACCACAUAGCUGCUCCCUGCCUAUGCUUGACCCUCAGUAAAAACCAAAGCUCAGGUGAGAUUCCAUGGCUAAACUUCACAUGUAUUCUUACAAACUGUUUCUGGGAGAAUUAAGCACUACUGUGUGACUCCAGUGGAAGUUCACAUCUGGGUUUUCCUGAUCUUCAGCCUAUGCGAAUUUUCUCCUCACUGAUAUGAAACUAUAUCCUUUCAUAACCACCAUUUUUCCUAAUUUUGUAAGCCCUAGCACAUCAUCAAAUUUAAGGAUGGUUUUGGGGAACUCCCACAAACCAUGGCUUUGGUGUAACCUGGUCAAGACCUUCUAGCUUUGGGGAUGUCUCCAUAAUAUCUUUCCUCAAGAACUACAAAGGUACACUGCCUCAUUUUUUAAAUAGUUCUUACCAUACCCUAGCAGAGUUUUAGUCCUAUUCCUAGUUUAUAUUUACACAACCAAGUAUAAACAAGGGAUGGAAGCUAUGUCUCUUUAAUGUAGGCACUUAAUAAAUACCUGAUGUUCGACUUAUUUUUAUUUUUAAGAACUUAUUUAUUUGACAGAGAUCACAAGUGGGCAGAGAGGGAGGCGGGGGGCACGGGGAAGCAGGCUCCCUGCCAAGCACAAAGCCCGAUGCAGGACUCGAUCCCAGGACCCUGAGAUCAUGCCCUGAGCCAAAGGCAGAGGCUUAUUAACCCACUGAGCCACCCAGGUCCCACUGAUAUUUGACUUAUAAAUGCAACUUCUAGAAAUUCUUAAGAAUUUCUUAAAAUUCUAUCAUAAAGAUCUAUAUAUAUUACAAAGUAGUUUAUGAUAAUUCUAAAUAUCUAAGAUUAGGCAAUAGGUUAAAUAAAAUAUGGUGAGCUAUAUGUUAUCACUCUAUGGAUCUCUGACAUUGAUCCAUAUUAAAUGUUGAUGAAAAAUGUUUUCUGAUGAAUUAGACAUCAGAUUUAAAAAGAGAUUAGAGGCUGGAUACUGUCAUAAUAAAGAACAUAGCAUUUGUCAUCCAAAAUUCAGGUUGUUAACUUUAUCUUUGGUUGUUACUGUGUAGCUUUUUACUACAUUACUUAACUGACUUUAUUUCCUCAUCAGCAAAAUGGGAAAAACAAGAGACCUACGUCAAAGUGUUCCUCUAUGUAUCAAAUGAAAUAAAACAUAAAGCACUUUCAGUGGCAUAUAAUAAACACCAAAUUACACCAAGUAAAAGUUGCCCAUUAAUUAAUGAACUUGUAAAGAAUAUUUCAUGUCCCUUGUUUCAUUAUCUUUUAAAAUUCCCUUUGUGCUUCUUUUUCUUACAGUAAAAUUUGAAAUUCUUAAGCUGUGCUUCCAUGUCAUGUUAACUCAGUUCAGUGUCCAGUCUUCAGAUUUCAAUUCUUCCUCAUUAAUAUUUGUCACAAAGACUCUCAAAAAGCAAAGGAAGACAUAUAUUCUUGCUCUCCAUAUAAGGCUGCACACAUAUAACCAGCUCAAAGAAUGUGAUCUAAUAAGUAACGACUCGAGCAUAAUAAUAAAAGGCUCAAUCCUGUUCCUAUGUCCAACACAGGAGUUACUGCAUACUUAUUUCUGUUCCCAUAAAUCUGUCCUUUCAAGUAUAAUGUGUAUAAUGAUGUGUGUAUGACACCUGGAUCUCCCAGAUCGUUCCUAUGUCCUAUGAAAGAAACCACAAUCUUUAAAAAAUAGGAAAUUCUGAAUAGCAGUCUUAAUUCAUAUUUUGUUACCCUGGUCACUGAAAUUCCAAAAGUUUUGAAUACUUGGAUGUGUCAAAUCACACGGUGACCAUUGCCAGUAUCUACUUAUAACUACUUGCCUAGAAAUAUGGAAAAACUGUAACUUUGUCUCUUUUAUGUGGCAAAUGGAUGUGCCAAAUUUCCUGUUGGCAGAAACAAAAUAAAAAACAUAUCCAGAGCGCCUGGGUGGCUCAGUGGAUUAAAGCCUCUGCCUUCGGCUCAGGUCAUGAUCCCAGGAUCCUAGGAUCCAGUCCCACAUGGGGCUCUUUGCUCAGCAGGGACCCUGCUUCCUCCUUCUCUCUCUCUGCCUGGCUCUCUGCCUACUUGUGAUCUUUGUCUGUCAAAUAAAUAAAUAAAAUCUUAAAAAAAAAAAAAAAAACCUAUCCAGACGCAAAUACCCUCAACAAAACAGCAAAAUGAAUUCAACAAUAUAUUAAAAGGAUCAUAUACUAUGAUCAAAUGAGAUUUAUUCCAAGGAUGCUAGGAUGCUUCCAUAUCUACAAAUUAAUCAACACACAAUGAAGGAUCAACAAAAUGAAGGGUAGAAGGAUAAAAAAGGAUAAAGCCACAUGAUCAUCUCAACAGAUGCAGAAAAAGACAUUUGACAAAAUUCAACAUCAGUUUGUUAAAAAUGCAACAAAAUGGGUACUGGGUGGCUCAGUAGGUUAAGCCUCUGCCUUCAGCUCAGGUCAUGAUCUCAGGGUUCUGAAAUCGAACCCCCCACUGGGCUCUCUGCUCAGGAGGGAGCCUGCUUUCCCUGCUCUCUCUCUGCCUGCCACUCUGCCUACUUGUGAUCUCCG